GCAGGUCAGGUCUGUGGAAGAGCUCAAGGCCCCUACCCUGAGGAGGUCAGAUGCCAAGGCCCUUCUGCCUCAGGUCCAGAUCUGACAAGUUGAGGACCCAGACUCAGGGUCAGGGAAGCAGAAUUACAAGUCUGGGGAGGGGAUGGUCUGAGGAAGAACUCACCGCUUGGCUGCAGGCUCUCAGCUGCUCACUCUCCCCAGAACAUCUUGGGACAGGGCUACUGGGAGCAAAAAGACUCCAGAGGGAACUGGAGUGGGGACCAUCACUCAGCAGAGGCAACCAGCCAUCUGGGUAAUGGGGAGCAGACUCCAUGACGGGCCUGUGAAGAUUCCCCCCGGGUCUCCAGUGCUCCUGGCUCUGGUGGCCUCUGCCCCGAGGGACAGAAAGGAAGGGAUUAGGGUGUCUCUCGGCCCCCCGGAGACUGGCCCAACCCUGGGCAUUUGGUAUUCUUGGCUGAGGGGACACGUGGAAGGAGCUACUUUCUCCCAGGGAGGAAAUGGAUGAGGGGGGCUCUGUGCCAGAGCCCUGGGCUCUGGAGUGGGGCCGCGUGGGGGCAGGCCUGGUUCUGGAGGGCACCUCUGUCUGAGCAGUUUCAGGGUUUGGGGGUUCUGCAAGGGAGGAUGGGGGGCGGGUAGACAGUUCCUUAGGAAGGAGCUGAGUCUGAGUUGUGUGGUUUGUAGAGGAUGGUUCUGUUCUUGGAGUCAGGGAUGGAAGAUCUGAGGUCUGGGAGAGCUCAGAUCGGGGCAGCCUCCGAGGGUGCAGGCCAUUCCGAUGCAGCGGCAAAGCAAAGGGCACUCUCCCAUAACCAAACAUUCCUGGCUUGAUGGGGUCUCGAACCCGGGACCUGAGAAGGUAUAGCAGAUGUGGGGUCACAGCUCUGGCCACCUCUGACCCUGUCUCCCUGGCUGGCUUCCUAGCACCAAAGAGGGGCCUCCGGAAGCCACAGCCUGCACAUCCUUGGCUCCAGGCCCUUCAUUCCCGAGCUCCGCCCCCCGAGGCCCCGCCCCUCACCUCCGAGCGCCUGGAAUCUCGGCGGCCUCAGCUCUCCCUGAUUGGGCAGCAGGGCCUCGGCGUGGGCCACCAGCUCCCCGAGGCUGUGGCUUGUACAGGGGGAGGGUUUCUCGGGAAGGCUGGGGUCUGGGGCUCUGACCCCUGGGGAGCAGAGCCUCAGGAUGUCUUGGGGGCCGGGGUGGGAAGGGUAGGCCCUGGUGCAGUUGAGCUGUAGGGAGCUGACAAGUUCGGCUCCUGCGCUGCACCCCGACUCCACAGGGCUGGGAGCAAGAGGUCCACGGGUCCCAAGGACCCCAGACACCCUCAGGCCCCUGACCCUCCUCCGAGGGUGUCUGAAGAGAGCGUCCAGACGAUAUCUAUGUAGACAAGAAGACCAGACAAAAUGAGAAGGAUUUUCGAGGGAACUGUUUGGACGGCUGGUCCAGUACCCGAAGGUCGGGCAGUCGUUACUGGACUGAGGUCACUUUCAGUAGCAGGGGUGAGAUGUGGCCAGGAGGGUGAAAGAGAGGCUGGGAGGGCGAACGUGAGAGGCGCCCCGGCUCAUCUGAAGCCGUGCAGGGCGGCUGCGUGGCCUGGAGAAGUGGGGUGGGAGCCAGGGAGGAAGAAAGGAUCACACCCUCUGGCCCCUGGCUUACCUCCUGCUCCAGGCAGAGCUCCGGGAGGGACAGAAGCAGCAUCAGACAUAACCGGGGCCUGCCAACCAGCCAGAGGAGGUGUUGUGACACCCCCCACCCCGCCCCGCAGCGGGCAGCCAGCAUCCCGGCGCCAGCUUCUCAGAAAGCAGAAGUUGCCCAUCACUUGCCCCCGCCCUGCCCAGCAGUGGCCGUCCCCUCACUUCCAGGGACAGAGUGGCCCUCCGGCUGGCAGCCCCACACUUACCUGCCCGCCCACUUCUCCAUCGCUCCUCCCUGGAUGCCCGGGGCAGGGGACAGAGGACCGGGAGUAAACACACUACUCCCGCAUCUGGGCGCUGAGAGGGCACGCUCUGUGGGGACAGGAGCCAUGUGGUCACUUCUCCAGGCGCCAGAAAGCCAGGGGGUUGGCACGGAGGGCUACUCAGAAGGGCAUCUCUGAGAGAGGAUGGAGGGGUGUGGGGGGAGUGGUCCACCCCCUCUGACCUUAAGGGUGAGAGCAGGAAGGAAUGCUGCCCUUCCUGGGCCGCUGAGGCUGGAAGGUGGGGGGCUGACCUCAGCCUCCAGACCGUGGCUCAGUGGCUCAGUCCCCUCCUGUCAGCCUGCAGGAACUCCUCAGCUCCUCCCUCCUCCCCACUAGGGAUUGUUUACAGGACAGCUUGGGCCACACAGCACACGCUCUUCCUGAAGAUGAUUCUGAUCUGGUUUGCCCUCCUCCCUCCCAGAGGACCCCGAUGGCCGAGGGAGGCAUGGGUGACAACAUGUGGGACACCCACUCCAAGGAGUGGACCAGAAGCCCCAUGGGAGUUCCUUUCCCUACCUGCCACCCAGCUCUUUCUCCCAUUUUUAACGAAGCUCCUUCUGGAACACUCAGGCAUCUCUGCCGGACUCAAACACUUUGUAGCCAAGAGAUAAACUAAGUGGGCUGAUGAUUUAAUCUCUGGAGAAGCAGGAAAAAAAAAAAAAAAUGUUUCUGUUGGAUCUGAAAGGCACCCAGGAGAGGAAUCCAAGGAGCUGAUGCCGAGGUGGGCCAGCUCGGGGGCAGGAGAAUGAGACGGAAGGGCAGGAAUGUACUUGGCGUCUUCGGGCUGAGCUGGAUCAAGGGCAACCCCCGGCACCGGUCCCAGCGUCCCUGGCCCCAACCCCGAGACUUAAGGGGGUGGCAGAGGCACACAUCCUCGAAGGAGCACCCUCCCGGAGGAGGAGGGCAGGAGGCGCCAGCGCGUGCGGGGAGGUCCUGGGGCGUGUAGCAGAAGAAAUGCGCUGACUUAGGAGUCAGAGGAUCUGGAUGUGCAUCUUAGCUCCAGGAGGCGCCAGCUGUGUGACCCUGGGUGAAGACUUCAACCUUUCUGUGCUGCAGUUUCCUUGUCUGUAAAAUGGAACUAAUCUGACGUGUCUGAUGGGCUGGGAGAUAGGGCUGCCCACCCGGAUCUGGAGGAAUGCACCCCAGACUCAGGGUGGUCACACUGGGGAGCAAAAAAAAAAAAAAAAAUAGGCUUUAGCUUUUUACCCUGUCCGCUUAUGUAUUGUUUGAGUUUUCACCCAGAAGCUCUAUGUUUAGUUACGUUAAUAAAUAAAUAAUUUAUACAACA